ACUGGAUGGCGACUGUCAAAUGAUUAAAAUAAAACAAUUUUAUUUUCUUACUCAACCUUUGUGUUGUGUCCAUUAACAUCAACAAGAACGUCGUUGGAAGGAAAAUAUGACACAUGAUAAAAUAGACGGCUACACCAUUGGAAACAUGUUCCUUAUAACUAACACUUUUUGGAAUACUUCACUUUCCAAUAGACAUUCAAGAAUUUGUCAGUAAUUAUAUCAUUUUGUUGACAAGAUUAAACUACUUUAAUUAAAUUAAAUAUAAUUUCAUAUUCUUUUAAAAGUAAACGAAGAACUCCUGAUGUUCAAAUUUAAUCUUCAAAAAAAUAUCUUA